AGAGACAGCAGCAGCCACGGGAAUACGGAGGGAGCUAGCGUUGUUCGGAAUUACUGGGCGUAAAGCGCACGUAGGCGGUUAUUCAAGUCAGAGGUGAAGGCCCUGGGCUCAACCCCGGAACUGCCUUUGAAACUAGAUGACUGGAAUCUUGGAGAGGUCAGUGGAAUUCCGAGUGUAGAGGUGAAAUUCGUAGAUAUUCGGAAGAACACCAGUGGCGAAGGCGACUGACUGGACAAGUAUUGACGCUGAGGUGCGAAAGCGUGGGGAGCAAACAGGAUUAGAUACCCGGGUAGUCCCUGUCUCUUAUAC
rnacentral:rRNA from 1 species